ACCCUGCUGAGGAGUUCCACAAUAGGACGAAACGGUCGUCCAGUAC
rnacentral:hammerhead_ribozyme from 1 species